UACAGAGGGUGCAAGCGUUGUUCGGAAUUACUGGGCGUAAAGCGCGCGUAGGUUGGUAGAUGUGUUGGCUGUGAAAUCCCCGAGCUCAACUUGGGACUGUCAGCCAAAACUGUCUAUCUAGAGUAUGGUAGAGGAAAGUGGAAUUUCAGGUGUAGCGGUGAAAUGCGCAGAUAUCAGGAGGAACACCGGUGGCGAAGGCGGGACUCUGGGCCGAUACUGACGCUGAGGCGCGAAAGCUAGGGGAGCAAACAGG
rnacentral:rRNA from 1 species